UAUUUGGGAAUUUAUAUCUCUGUAAAAAAUCUCUCAAAAUUUGAAAACUAAGACCUAUGAUUUAUUUGACUGUAUCCAUAUAUGUCCUAAUUUUAGAGAUUCCAUAUUGAUAGUUUAUUCAAAGAACUUUUAUGAAUAAAAUAAUAAAAAUAGAAAAUUAGAAAAAAAAGAGUUUGAGAAUCUCUUGUUUUAUAAAUUUUACUCUAUUUUAGAUUCAUCCGUCAUUUGUCAAAAUCUCAAAAUUUAAUUUUGUUUAAAAUAUUAAUUUUUUCGUUAGGAAAAAUCAGUGAAACUCUCACCAAUGUCGAUGUUCUUAUUAUCUAAAUAAUUUUCACAUAGUAGCGAAAGACAAAUAUAGAAGAUACAAAAUGUUUAUUAAAAUAAAUGUUUCAUCUUUUUAAUGUUGGUUAAUUAUUUUUUGACAAACUAUUGAAAUGUUAUAUAUAUAUAUAUAUAUAAUUAUACAGUCGACGACUAGUCUCGUGAGGAUUUAUGUUUGUUGCAAUAUCCUGAACUUCUAUGAAGAUUUCUUAAAAAAAAGUUCUCCAAUAAUAUGCAUAAUUCAACUUUCUUGGACUCAAAAUCCAAACAUCUUGUUAUAAAAGUAUUAAUGAGCUUUUAAUGAAACCACUCAACUAAAAAAACUUCCAUACUUUUCACCAUCUAGGAAACAUUUUUUUUCUCCGACUAGUUUCGCAUAUUGCUCUUGUUUUUUUUAUAGACAGAGUAGAAUUGUUUUUUUUUUUUGUAAACUGGCUUCAGAGUAGAAUUGUUUAAGCUACAACUUUGCUGAUCCUAAACUGGGGUAACUAUAUGUUCAACUUGACCUAAAUGCACCAGCUCUAAACCCAAACCACCUGAACAAGGCUACAACGAUGCAAUAACAAAAUCUACACUUGCUCGGUAACUUUUUAUGGCUAAGAAUAUGCAAAAUAUUAGAUGUUCGACUUCAAAUUUUGGCAAGGCGGCAACCGAAUGGGUUAUGAAGCUUUGGAUGAAUUUUAGUAAAACUCACAACAGUCGCAAACUUACAAGAAAUGUAUAUUUUGUUUCUUUUUACUGCGACGAAACUAAAAUAUAAACAAAAAACCUAAAAUAUCUACAAUUAUAGUCAAAGAAAACCCAACACUAAACAGAACUUCGGCGUGUAGACCAAACGUACUUGACAAAUACAAAUGACAACAAGUCUAUAAGAGACUCAUAAAUGUAUAAUUUUAUCUUUUUACUGCGAUGAAAUUCAAAUAAAAUUAAAAACCUAAAAUAUCUACAAUAAGUCUAAUAAAACCUAACACUAAACAGAACUUCGGCGUGUAGACCAAAUAAAUAUACUUGACAAUUGACAACAAGUCUACAAUUCCUUGCGUGGUUCGUGAUUUAUUCAAAAACAUUUUGUUUUUGAAAAUAAAUAGAAAAUAUCAAAACUAAAUAAAUUCACACAUAAAACCUCAUAUUCAGAGUCUUCUCUCUCUCUCCCACAAUCUCUAGCUGCCCAUAUUUCUUGCUGUCAACAAAUUCAUUCACCAAUCUCCUUCUUUCCCAUCAACAACAAACUUAAAACACAAAGUCUUUUCACUAUAUUAAAACCAUUUCACCAAAAACUCUUCCUCAAGGAACCUCUCUUCAACAAUGUCGUCUCGAAACUACAUAUCAGGAACCCACUUUUGGUUUCUUCUUAUCCUUCUUCUUCUUGGUUUCUGUAACGGAGCAAGAACAAGCAAGAACGUCUUCAACGCGAAACUACACAAGAAAGAUAACGACGUCGUUGCGUCUUCAUCUCGACAGUUCUUGGGAUUCUUACCACGUCACUUCCCUGUUCCAGCUUCUGGUCCCUCUAGAAAACACAAUGAUAUCGGUUUACUUAGUUGGGAUCGAUCUUCUCCGUGAAAAGCUUUAAAGGAAUUUGUAUUGUUGCACGUAUCAAAGUGUAAGGGCCGACUUUGUUCGAGGACUAGUUAUGCAUGUUGUAAAAGAGUUUACCAAUUGUUCAAUUUUAAAGAGAACUGAAAUAUAUGGUGUAACUAUAAAGUUUGAUGCAGAUUGGUCUUGAGAUA